AAAGAAACCAACAGGGAUUGCCCUAGUAACGGCGAGUGAAGCGGCAUCAGCUCAAAUUUGAAAUCUGGCUCUUUUAGGGUCCGAGUUGUAAUUUGCAGAGGGCGCUUUGGCGUUGGCAGCGGUCUAAGUUCCUUGGAACAGGACGUCACAGAGGGUGAGAAUCCCGUACGUGGUCGCUAACCUUCGCCGUGUAAAGCCCCUUCGACGAGUCGAGUUGUUUGGGAAUGCAGCUCUAAAUGGGAGGUAAAUUUCUUCUAAAGCUAAAUACUGGCCAGAGACCGAUAGCGCACAAGUAGAGUGAUCGAAAGAUGAAAAGCACUUUGGAAAGAGAGUCAAAUAGCACGUGAAAUUGUUGAAAGGGAAGCGCUUGCAGCCAGACUUGCCUGUAGUUGCUCAUCCGGGCUUUUGCCCGGUGCACUCUUCUGCGGGCAGGCCAGCAUCAGUCUAGGCGGUUGGAUAAAGGCCUCUGUCACGUACCUCCUUUCGGGGAGGCCUUAUAGGGGAGGCGACAUGCAACCAGCCUGGACUGAGGUCCGCGCAUCUGCUAGGAUGCUGGCGUAAUGGCUGUAAGCGGCCCGUCUUGAAACACGGACCAAGGAGUCUAACAUCUAUGCGAGUGUUUGGGUGUCAAGCCCGAACGCGUAAUGAAAGUGAACGGAGGUGGGAUCCCUUUUAGGGUGCACCAUCGACCGAUCCUGAUGUCUUCGGAUGGAUUUGAGUAAGAGCAUGGCUGUUGGGACCCGAAAGAUGGUGAACUAUGCUUGAAUAGGGUGAAGCCAGAGGAAACUCUGGUGGAGGCUCGCAGCGGUUCUGACGUGCAAAUCGAUCGUCAAAUUUGGGCAUAGGGGCGAAAGACUAAUCGAACUAUCUA
rnacentral:rRNA from 1 species